GGUCGACAGUUUAUUUACAUGUACAAGUCGGUUCUGUUAGCUGCGUUCUUUUUAAUUAAUAAAUUUUUGAAUUUUGUUAAUUAUUUAUGAGUAGCUAAUGAAGUGGUAUAAGAAGAUUUAUAUUGUUUACGCUUAUAAAUUGAGACGCCUGAAGAAGGCCAAAUAAAAUGGUCGAAACGUUGCGGAAUCAA
rnacentral:lncRNA from 1 species